rnacentral:rRNA from 1 species
ACGGUCCUAAGGUAGCGAAAUUCCUUGUCAGGUAAGUUCUGACCCGCACGAAAGGCGUAACGAUUUGGGCGCUGUCUCAGCUGUAGACUCGGUGAAGUCUUAGUACCUGUGAAGAUGCAGGUUACCCGCGACUAGACGGAAAGACCCCAUGGAGCUUCACUGCAGGUUGAUAUUGGGAUUUGAUGCAGCAUGUACAGGAUAGGUAGGAGGCAAAGAGAUGGAUACGCCAGUAUUCAAGGAGCCGCUGUUGGGAUACUACCCCUGUUGUAUUGGAUUUCUAACCGGACGACGUAGAGCCGUUGACGGGACAGUGUCAGUCGGGCAGUUUGACUGGGGCGGUCGCCUCCCAAAGAGUAACGGAGGCGCCCAAAGAUACCCUCAGCUUGGAUGGAAACCAAGCGCAGAGUGCAAAGGCAAAAGGGUGUUUGACUGCGAGACCCACAAGUCGAGCAGGGACGAAAGUCGGGCUUAGUGAUCCGGCGGUGCUGAAUGGAAAGGCCGUCGCUCAACGGAUAAAAGCUACCCUGGGGAUAACAGGCUGAUCUCCCCCAAGAGUCCACAUCGACGGGGAGGUUUGGCACCUCGAUGUCGGCUCAUCGCAUCCUGGGGCUGUAUUCGGUCCCAAGGGUUUGGCUGUUCGCCAAUUAAAGCGGUACGCGAGCUGGGUUCAGAACGUCGUGAGACAGUUCGGUCCCUAUCUGUUGCGGGCGCAGGAAUAUUGAGAGGAGCUGUCCUUAGUACGAGAGGACCGGGAUGGACGUACCGCUGGUGCACCAGUUGUUCUGCCAAGGGCAUAGCUGGGUAGCUAAGUACGGACGAGAUAAACGCUGAAGGCAUCUAAGCGUGAAACUCCCCUCGAGAUAAGUGUUCCCAUCCUUCGGGAGUAAGGCCCCUUGUAGACUACAAGGUUGAUAGGUCAGGAGUGGAAGUGCAGUAAUGUAUGGAGCGGACUGAUACUAAUAGGCCGAGGGCUUGACCUA